rnacentral:rRNA from 1 species
UACGUAGGGGGCUAGCGUUGUCCGGAUUUAUUGGGCGUAAAGAGCGUGUAGGCGGCCAGGUAGGUCUGGUGUGAAAACUCGAGGCUUAACCUCGAGAUGUCAUCGGAAACCAUUUGGCUAGAGUCCGGAAGAGGAGAGUGGAAUUCCUGGUGUAGCGGUGAAAUGCGCAGAUAUCAGGAAGAACACCAAUGGCGAAAGCAGCUCUCUGGGACGGUACUGACGCUGAGACGUGAAAGCGUGGGGAGCGAACAGG